GAUGAACGCUGGCGGCGUGCUUAAUACAUGCAAGUCGAGCGGAAAGACGAGGAGUUUGCUCCUCUGACGUUUGCGGCGGACGGGUGAGUAACACGUGGAUAAUCUACUUAUCAGACUGGGAUAAUUUCGGGAAUCCGGAGCUAAUACCGGAUAACAUGCUGAACCGUAUGGUUCAAUAGUGAAAGACGGUCUUGCUGUCAGUUAUCGAUGGAUCCGCGCUGCAUUAGCUAGUUGGUAAGGUAACGGCUUACCACGGCAACGAUGCGUAGCCGACCUGAGAGGGUGAUCGGCCACACUGGAACUUAGACACGGUCCAGGCUCCUACGGGAGGCAGCAGUAGGGAAUCUGCCGCAGUAGGCGGAAGCCUGACGGAGCAACGCCGCGUGAGUGAAAAAAGUCUUCGGAGCGUAAAACUCUGUUAUUAGUGAAAAACAAAUUUGUAAUUAACUAUGCACGUCGUGACGGUACCGAAUCAAAAAGCCACGGCUAACUACGUG
rnacentral:rRNA from 1 species